rnacentral:rRNA from 1 species
CCUACGGGAGGCAGCAGUGGGGAAUUUUGGACAAUGGGCGCAAGCCUGAUCCAGCAAUGCCGCGUGCAGGAUGAAGGCCUUCGGGUUGUAAACUGCUUUUGUACGGAACGAAACGGCUCUUUCUAAUAAAGAGAGCUAAUGACGGUACCGUAAGAAUAAGCACCGGCUAACUACGUGCCAGCAGCCGCGGUAAUACGUAGGGUGCGAGCGUUAAUCGGAAUUACUGGGCGUAAAGCGUGCGCAGGCGGUUAUAUAAGACAGAUGUGAAAUCCCCGGGCUCAACCUGGGACCUGCAUUUGUGACUGUAUAGCUAGAGUACGGUAGAGGGGGAUGGAAUUCCGCGUGUAGCAGUGAAAUGCGUAGAUAUGCGGAGGAACACCGAUGGCGAAGGCAAUCCCCUGGACCUGUACUGACGCUCAUGCACGAAAGCGUGGGGAGCAAACAGGAUUAGAUACCCUGGUAGUCCACGCCCUAAACGAUGUCAACUGGUUGUUGGGUCUUCACUGACUCAGUAACGAAGCUAACGCGUGAAGUUGACCGCCGUGGGGAGUAACGGCCGCAAGGUUGAAACUUCAAAUGAAUUGACGG